rnacentral:rRNA from 1 species
AUUGAACGCUGGCGGCAGGCUUAACACAUGCAAGUCGAGCGGGGUGAUGGUGCUUGCACUAUCACUUAGCGGCGGACGGGUGAGUAAUGCUUAGGAGUCUGCCUAUUAGUGGGGGACAACAUCUCGAAAGGGAUGCUAAUACCGCAUACGUCCUACGGGAGAAAGCAGGGGAUCACUUGUGACCUUGCGCUAAUAGAUGAGCCUAAGUCGGAUUAGCUAGUUGGGGGGGUAAAGGCCUACCAAGGCGACGAUCUGUAGCGGGUCUGAGAGGAUGAUCCGCCACACUGGGACUGAAACACGGCCCAGACUCCUACGGGAGGCAGCAGUGGGGAAUAUUGGACAAUGGGGGGAACCCUGAUCCAGCCAUGCCGCGUGUGUGAAGAAGGCCUUAUGGUUGUAAAGCACUUUAAGCGAGGAGGAGGCUCUUUUGGUUAAUACCCAAGAUGAGUGGACGUUACUCGCAGAAUAAGCACCGGCUAACUCUGUGCCAGCCGCCGCCGUAA